rnacentral:rRNA from 1 species
UACGGGGGGAGCAAGCGUUGUUCGGAUUUACUGGGCGUAAAGCGUGCGCAGGCGGUUUUGUAAGUCAGAUGUGAAAUCCCCGGGCUUAACCUGGGAACUGCGUUUGAAACUACAAGGCUAGAGUGUGGCAGAGGGGGGUGGAAUUCCACGUGUAGCAGUGAAAUGCGUAGAGAUGUGGAGGAACACCGAUGGCGAAGGCAGCCCCCUGGGUUAACACUGACGCUCAGGCACGAAAGCGUGGGGAGCAAACAGG